GGGUUAGUAGGCUGGUCGUGCCACAGGUAUGUACUGGUCUCACUGAUUCCUCCUUCCUGAUGAACCGUAAUGCCAUUAAUUUGGUGUUGCGGGGAGACUGGACUGUUACUUUGAAAAAAUUAGAGUGUUUAAAGCAGGCUAACGCUUGAAUACAUUAGCAUGGAAUAAUGAAAUAGGACGUUCGGUCUUAUUUUGUUGGUUUCUAAGAUUGACGUA
rnacentral:rRNA from 1 species